AAGUCGUAACAAGGUUUCCGUAGGUGAACCUGCGGAAGGAUCAUUAGUGUUUGGAGGAUUUUGGGUGGGUGGAGGGGAUUUGGAUGGAGGGGAUGAUUUGGUUUUGAUCAGAGACCGAAUGUGUUCAAUUCAGUCCAGUCCAAUCCAAUCCAAUCCCAAAUCACAUUUACGCUUGUCGAGUUUGACCGAGUAAACAACGUUAUUUAAAACUACUAAACUUUUAACAAUGGAUCUCUUGGCUCUU
rnacentral:misc_RNA from 1 species